CUCACGACCGUAGUCAGCCUGAAGGCGCCCGGUCCACAACAAGGAGUCGUUAGAGAGUGAUGCCGCAGCACAACGAUGAAGUGCCUUAGAACGCUGCGCCACUCGGGAGACAAUUUCAUGAGCUAUUCUAAUGCAGCCGUCUGACUGGAUCCUGAUGAUUUCCUCCAGUGCCUCGGCUGACGUGCUAGGAUUCGUUUUCUGUGUCUCGAGCAAGCAGCUCUGGGAAAGUGAAAGGGUCGGGAGCACCGGAACAUGACCUCCCCGCCGCCUAGCUUCAGCGUGUGUGAGCUGUGGGCUGCAGGAAUCCCCGGUGAAAGCAACAAGAUGAAAGUCUUCCACCAAAAGCAAAGCUCGGCCCAAAGUUUGAGGGCAAGUGCCAGGGGGAGAGAGUCUUCUCCAGGAAUUUACGACCUGAGAUAACAGAACCUGGGUGUAGGAGAGAGAGAGAGGGGGGGGGGCACAGUCUAUACCCAGAAAGGGCCACGUCAUGACAAU